ensembl:lncRNA
CACCAGAGUGCUUCCCACCCCACCAGGGACACCUGGUUGCCUGUCCCGGCUAGUCUGUGUCACACACCUGCUAGAUAUCAUGGACAGAAGAGAGGAAGAGGAAACGGCUCAGCAAAUUAGAUGACUCAAAAAGGGACUUGGUUUUUAUGAACUUCAAUAUGAGAACAGAAGGUGCCUUUAUCAUUUGAAGAGUAUAUAAUAUUGCAGAGUGAUCACGGUUCUGGACAACAGCUCUGGGGUUCUAGGACUGUGUCCCAGCCCCAUGACUUAAACAACCACCCAGCCUCGCCAGUGCUGAUACCUCUGAGAAAGUGGAAAUUGACAGACACCUCUGUACACAGUAAUCCCAUGCACAGAGCCUUCCAUGUGAAAUCACCAGACCUCCCGUGUUCCCUACACCUUGCAAAUAUGGACCUAAGUAAGUCCUCUCAUGCAGC